AACGCACAUUGCGCCCGCCAGUAUUCUGGCGGGCAUGCCUGUUCGAGCGUCAUUUCAACCAUCAAGCCCCCGAGCUUGCGUUGGGGCCCUGCGGCUGCCGCAGACCCCUAAAACCAGUGGCGGGCUCGCUGUCACACCGAGCGCAGUAGCAAUAUCUCGCUCUGGGCGCGGCGGCGGGCGCUUGCCGUAAAACACCCCACAUAUCAAGGUUGACCUCGGAUCAGGUAGGAAUACCCGCUGAACUUAA
rnacentral:misc_RNA from 1 species